UUGCCUUAGUAACGGCGAGUGAAGCGGCAAAAGCUCAAAUUUGAAAUCUAACACUUUCAGUGUUCGAGUUGUAAUUUGAAGAAAGUUUCUCUGAGUAGUCCUUUAUCUAUGUUCCUUGGAACAGGACGUCAUAGAGGGUGAGAACCCCGUAUGAUUUUGGAUACUAUUCUUUGUGAGAUUCUUUCGAAGAGUCGAGUUGUUUGGGAAUGCAGCUCUAAGUGGGUGGUAAAUUCCAUCUAAAGCUAAAUAUUGGCGAGAGACCGAUAGCGAACAAGUACAGUGAUGGAAAGAUGAAAAGAACUCUGAAGAGAGAGUGAAAAAGUACGUGAAAUUGCUGAAAGGGAAGGGCUUUAGGUUAGACUUGGUGUUUAAUGAUUAUCUUCCCUUCUGGGUUGUGCACUCGUUUUUCACUGGGCCAAUAUCAGUUUUGGAGACAAAGUACCUUUUGGAAUGUGGCUUUCUUCGGGAAGUGUUAUAGCCUUAAGACGAUUUGUUUCUGGGACUGAGGACUGCGCUUUGUGCUAGGAUAUUGGCGUAAUAACCUUAAGCCGCCCGUCUUGAAACACGGACCAAGGAGUCUAACGUCUAUGCGAGUGUUUGGGUGUAAAACCCGUACGCGUAAUGAAAGUGAACGUAGAUUGGGGCCUUCGGGUGCACAAUCGACCGAUCCUGAAGUUUUCUGAUGGAUUUGAGUAAGAGCAUAGCUGUUGGGACCCGAAAGAUGGUGAACUAUGCCUGAAUAGGGUGAAGCCAGAGGAAACUCUGGUGGAAGCUCGUAGCGGUUCUGACGUGCAAAUCGAUCGUCGAAUUUGGGGUAUAGGGGCGAAAGACUAAUCGAACCAUCUAGUAGCUGGUUCCUGCCGAAG
rnacentral:rRNA from 1 species